rnacentral:snRNA from 1 species
AUACUUACCUGGCAGGGGAGAUACCAUGAUCACGAAGGUGGUUUUCCCAGGGCGAGGCUUAUCCAUUGCACUCCGGAUGUGCUGACCCCUGCAAUUUCCCCAAAUGUGGGAAACUCGACUGCAUAAUUUGUGGUAGUGGGGGACUGCGUUCGCGCUUUCCCCUA